AGUGGCGGACGGGUGAGUAACGCGUGAGAAUCUGCCUUGGGGUCGGGGACAACCACUGGAAACGGUGGCUAAUACCGGAUAAGCCGAUUGGUGAAAGAUUUAUUGCCCGAAGAGGAGCUCGCGUCUGAUUAGCUAGUUGGUGAGGUAAGAGCUCACCAAGGCAGCGAUCAGUAGCUGGUCUGAGAGGACGAUCAGCCACACUGGGACUGAGACACGGCCCAGACUCCUACGGGAGGCAGCAGUGGGGAAUUUUCCGCAAUGGGCGAAAGCCUGACGGAGCAAGACCGCGUGAGGGAGGAAGGCUCUUGGGUUGUAAACCUCUUUUCUCAGGGAAGAAGCUCUGACAGUACCUGAGGAAUCAGCCUCGGCUAACUCCGUGCCAGCAGCCGCGGUAAUACGGAGGAGGCAAGCGUUAUCCGGAAUUAUUGGGCGUAAAGCGUCCGCAGGUGGCGAUUCAAGUCUGCUGUCAAAGCACGGGGCUUAACUCCGUAAAGGCAGUGGAAACUGAAUAGCUAGAGUGCCGUAGGGGUAGAGGAAUUCCCGGUGUAGCGGUGAAAUGCGUAGAGAUCGGGAAGAACAUCGGUGGCGAAAGCGCUCUACUGGACGGCAACUGACACUCAGGGACGAAAGCUAGGGGAGCGAAUGGGAUUAGAUACCCC
rnacentral:rRNA from 1 species